rnacentral:antisense_RNA from 1 species
GUAUGUGAUUAUUAAAAGGCUGUAAGGUGAUUACGUUUUGUGUUUCCAUAAUAUGUACAUUG